rnacentral:rRNA from 1 species
GUYUUUUUGUUAAAAAUUUAAAGUCGGGCCUGCCCACUGAGAUUUAAAUGGCCGUGGUAUUUUGACCGUGCUAAGGUAGCAUAAUCAUUAGUUUUUUAAUUGAAAGCUGGAAUGAAGGGUUUGAUAAAAAAAUGACUGUCUCUAUUUAAUUUUAUUAAAAUUUUAUUUUUAAGUUCAAAAGCUUAAGUGGGAUUAAAAGACGAGAAGACCCUAUAGAGUUUUAUAAUUUAAGAUAAUUUAUAUUUUAGAAUUAAUUUAUUUAUUUUUUAAUAUUAUUUAAUUGGGGUGAUUGAAAAAUUUAAUUAACUUUUUUUAUAUUUAACCAUUAAUUUAUGAUUAUUUGAUCCAAUUUUUUUGAUUAUAAGAUAAAAUUACCUUAGGGAUAACAGCGUAAUUUUUUUAGAAAGUUCAAAUUAAAAAAAAAGAUUGCGACCUCGAUGUUGGAUUAAAAUUAAGUUUUGGUGUAGAAGCUAAAAAUUUUAAGUCUGUUCGACUUUUAAAAUUUUACA